rnacentral:rRNA from 1 species
AGUGAACGCUGGCGGUAGGCCUAACACAUGCAAGUCGAACGGCAGCACAGAGGAGCUUGCUCCUUGGGUGGCGAGUGGCGGACGGGUGAGGAAUACAUCGGAAUCUACUCUGUCGUGGGGGAUAACGUAGGGAAACUUACGCUAAUACCGCAUACGACCUACGGGUGAAAGCAGGGGACCUUCGGGCCUUGCGCGAUUGAAUGAGCCGAUGUCGGAUUAGCUAGUUGGCGGGGUAAAGGCCCACCAAGGCGACGAUCCGUAGCUGGUCUGAGAGGAUGACCAGCAACACUGGAACUGAGACCCGGUCCAGCCUCCUACGGGAGGCAGCAGUGGGGAAUAUUGGACAAUGGGCGCAAGCCUGAUCCAGCCAUACCGCGUGGGUGAAGAAGGCCUUCGGGUUGUAAAGCCCUUUUGUUGGGAAAGAAAUCCAGCUGGCUAAUACCCGGUUGGGAUGACGGUACCCAAAGAAUAAGCACCGGCUAACUUCGUGCCAGCAGCAGCCGCCG